GCUGGACCUGGACCAAGCCAACGGGAAGUGGCCUCAAGCCAGGCACUCCACACACUGGGUCUGUGUGACCUGGAGCUCCUGAAAUGGCCUGACUCCCAGCAGGGCUACAUCCUCAAGCUAAAUGUGAACCAGUAAUGAAUUGUGACCUGCAUCCAGACACUGAGUAAGGCUUGCCAUCUUGGGGGAAGAACAUAAAAGAGAGACCCAUCUCUGAGAUGUUACAAACACAAGGUGAUUCUUCCGACAGUCUGUAGCCUGGGCUUGUUGCCUGGCUGGUCCAGCAGACUUCAGGCUAUGAGUUUGGUCAAUGGUGGUCCCAGACCACCAUGUCCAACUUGAACCUAAAAUCCAACAGUGAAAACUAACACUGCUCCUCAAC